rnacentral:tRNA from 1 species
GGGCUCAUAGCUCAGUGGUGAGAGCGGCGUGCUCAUAACUCGAAGGUCCCUGGUUCAAGUCCAGGUGGGCCCA